AUUGAACGCUGGCGGCAGGCCUAACACAUGCAAGUCGAGCGGAUGACGGGAGCUUGCUCCUUGAUUCAGCGGCGGACGGGUGAGUAAUGCCUAGGAAUCUGCCUGGUAGUGGGGGACAACGUUUCGAAAGGAACGCUAAUACCGCAUACGUCCUACGGGAGAAAGCAGGGGACCUUCGGGCCUUGCGCUAUCAGAUGAGCCUAGGUCGGGUUAGCUAGUUGGGGGGGGAAUGGCUCAACAAGGCGACGAUCCGUAACUGGUCUGAGAGGAUGAUCAGUCACACUGGAACUGAGACACGGUCCAGACUCCUACGGGAGGCAGCAGUGGGGAAUAUUGGACAAUGGGCGAAAGCCUGAUCCAGCCAUGCCGCGUGUGUGAAGAAGGUCUUCGGAUUGUAAAGCACUUUAAGUUGGGAGGAAGGGCAGUAAGUUAAUACCUUGCUGUUUUGACGUUACCGACAGAAUAAGCACCGGCUAACUCUGUGCCAGCAGCCGCCGUAAAAC
rnacentral:rRNA from 1 species